AUUAGUGAUCAGAUCUGUAGGGUUUGUAAAGAUAAUCUAGAUCUUUUUUAAAUUUGUAAACAAAUCGCAACUAUUUUCUCUUGUUUUUUCAGUCUUUUCCUUUGUUUUGAACUUGACACUCAAACUUAUUUGAUUUUGUAGUUUUGUGAAGGGGUUGUUUUAUUUAUAAACUAUCGUAAUUUUCGUGUUUUGUAUGGUGUUUUAUAAUACCGAACUCACAUAUAAGAACUUGUGAUCCUGUUACAAGAACACCUAAAAACCCAUUUCAAUUGUUUUGUACUUUGAGGCUUGUACUUUGCGGUUGAUUGGGCAUACGCAGGUUGUGAUCGUAGCUUGUAUUGCUUUCUUGAUGGAGGUUCUUUCUGUUAUUUUCGUGUUUGUUUUUUUCUAUAGUUCCCUGAAUAGGUUUGAUUUUAUGUUUUCCUUUUUUGGCACUCCCAUAUUGUUGAAAUUGUUUCACUUCUCAGUCAUUUCAAUGUUUUCAAAACUCCCAUACUAUUGUAGAUGUUUUCUCUUGUUUUUAUUGUUCUUGAAUUUGAAUGUUAAACUUGUUUGAUUUUAUAGUUUUGUGAAGUACAAACUGUUGUUCUUUUUACUUAGUUUUUAACAAGACUGAGCUCACUUCGAGAAAUAGCAACAUUGUUACCGGAGCACCUAAAAAACCCCAUUUUAACCUGUCAUUGUACUUUGAGGCUUGUACUUUGCGGUUGAUUGGUGACGAAGGUAGCUACUGUAACGUGAAUUGCUUUCUUGAUAAAGUUCUCUCUUUUGAUCUUUUUGAUGAUUUUUACUAUGUUACUAUCAAUUAUUUUUAAUUUUUUGGUAAUGAGAUUUUUUUAUAUAUUUUUAAUAGCUUUAUGGUUUGACAAUUUUAUAUUGUAUUUUACAAGACUGAACUCACUUCGAGAAAUAGGAAUUCCAUUACCAGAGCACCUAAAAACCCAAUUCAAAUUGUUUUUGUACUUUGAGGCUUGUACUUUGCGGUUGGUUGGGUGACGAAGGUUGCUAUUGUAACGUGAAUUGCUUUCUUGAUAAAGUUUUUUCUUAUGAUAUAUUUUUUUAUGAUUUUGACUAUGUUUUAUAUAACUUUUAUUUCUUGGCGCUGAGAUUUUUUUUAUAUAAUGUAAUAGCUUUUUGGUUCGAUAGUUUUAUAUCAGUCUUUUCCUAUGUUUUUAACUUGACUUCUAAACUUAUUUGAUUUUAUAGUAUUAUGAAAGGGUUGUUUAAGUUAUAAACUAUCGUAAUUUUCUUGUUUUAUACGGUGUUUACAAGACUGAACUCACAUGUAAGAGCUUGUGAUCCUGUUACAAGAACACCUAAAAACCCAUUCCAAUUGUUUUGUACUUUGAGGUUUGUACUUUGCAGUUGAUUGGGCAUACACAGGUUGUGUUUGUAGCUUGGAUUGCUUUCUUAAUGGAAGUUCUUUCUGUUAUUUUUAGGUUUGUUUGUUCUAUACUUUCCUGAAUUCCUUUGAUUUUACGUUUUCUUUUUUUUUUGGCACUCCUGUAUUGUUGAAAUUGUUUCACUUCUCAGUUAUUUCAAUGUUUUCAAAACUCCCAUAUUAUUGUAGAUGUCAUCUAUUGUUUUUGUUGUUUUUGAAUUGAAUGUUAAACUUGUUUGAUUUUAUAGUUUUGCGAAGUACAAACUGUUGUACUUUUGUUGUUGUUUUUACUUAGUUUUUAGCAAGUGGAGCUCACUUCGAGAAAUAACAACACUGUUACCGGAGCACCUAAAACCCCAUUUUAACCUGCCACUGUACUUUGAGGCUUGUACUUUGCGGUUGAUUGGGCGACGAAGGUUGCUACUCUAACGUGGAUUGCCUUCUUGAUAAAGUUCAUCCUGCUGAUAUUCUAUUUUUUGUCAAUUUUGACUAUGUUAUCAUCAUAAUUUUUAUUUUAUAUAGUUUAAUAGCUUUGUGGGUUAAAUUUUUUUUUUUGUGGUUUUUUACAAGACUGAGCUCACUUCGAGAAAUAGGAAUGGUGUUUCCAGAGCACCUAAGAACCCAAUUCGGCUUGUCUUUGUACUUUGAGGUUUGUACUUUGCAGUUGAUUGGGUGACGAAGGUUGCUUGUGUAACAUAAAAUUCUUUCUUGAUGAAGGUUCUUUCUUUUGAUAUUCUAUUUUUUUACGAUUUUGACUAUGUUAUUUAUAUAACUUUUAUUUCUUGGUGAUGUGAUUUUUUAUAUAACGUAAUAGCCUUGUGGUUUGAUAGUUUUAUAUGGUAUUUUACAAAAUUGAACUCAUAUUCAAGAGCUACGCAUGCCAUUACUAGAGUAUCUUAGAACCCAUCUCAACUUGUCUUUGUACUUUGAGGCAUGUACUUUGCGGUUGAAUGGGUGACAAAGGUUGCUACUGUGGUGUGAAUUUCUUUCUUGAUAAAGUUCUUUUUGUUGAUAUUCUAUUUUUUAUUGUUAUAUUCAUAACUUUUAUUUCUUAGUAAUGAGAUUUUUUUAAUAUAAUGCAUUAGCUCUUUUGCCUGACAGUUUUAUAUGCUAUUUUACAAGACUGAACUCACAUUCGAGAAAUUGUAAUCCCGUUACUAAAGCACCUAAAAGCCCAUUUCAGUUUGUCUUUGUACUUUGAGGCUUGUACUUUGCGGUUGACUGGGUGAUGAAGGUUGUUAUUGUAGCGUGGAUUGCUUUCUUGAUGAAGUUCUUUCUGUUAUAUUCUGUUUUUAAUGAAUGGUACUACGUUAUUUUCAUAAGUUUUAUUUCUUGGUAACGAGAUUCUUUCAUAUAGUUUAAUAGCUUUGUGGUUUGACAAUUUUAUAUGGUAUAUUAUAAGAUUGAACUCACAUUUGAGAAAUAGGAAUGCUGUUACUAGAGCUACCUAUAUGAAUAGCAAAUCAAGAUGGAAUGGAACGCUUCUUACUCAAAUUAAGAGCCCUCGUGGAGCUAACUGAAGCUGAAACAUAAUAUGCAGUAAAUGAUAUGAAGCAGUUACGGGAUAUAUGCUUCUGAAGCGGAACCAAGUCAUCGAAUGCCCUUCCAUAUGAUACAUCUGGUCAAACCUUAUGGCACUUGAGAAACCAUAAGGGGCCCCACCUAAGCUGUUGGCAGAUUUUCUAACGCCUUGAAGUUUAUCGUCGAAGAGGUCCCUAAACUCAUAUGAAAAACAAAAUGCAAUCAUCAGCCAAGCCAAGCCAAACUGUCCUCAACCCCCCUGGAGCUAACGGAAACUGAAACAGAUUAUGCAAUGAUGCUCUGACGCACAUAUUCGACAAACUUGUCUCGAAAUACAGUACUGGGGCAGUUACUGACUUACUGUCAUAUAGUUGUUAUAGAUGCUUUUGAAGCGGAAGAAUUUGCUGAGGUGGCAACGAAGCGACUGAAAGCCCUUCCAUAUGCACACCUGGUUGAAGUUUAUGGCAUUUGAGUAUCCCAUAAUGGGUCCCAGCUCAGCUGUUGGCAGAUUUUUUGACGUGUUGAAGUUUAUUGUCAAAGAGGGAAUAACUUCUCAUAUCAUGUUAUAACAAAGUUGUGACAUCCCGCCGGAAAAUCAGUUGAUUGGGCUUCAGAAGACAGCUUGAAGGUAGAUUGGGCUUGAAGAUUGUUGGGCUGCUGGAGUUAAAGAAUGUUGUUGGGCUGAGGUCGGGUUCCAGUCGCAUAUGGGGCUACGGAUGCGGAUUGAUAUAAAAGAAUAUUAUCUGAGUUCAGAUUUUAGAUUUUUGAUAUUUUUUUCCUCUCUCAAAAUUUCUUCAUUUCUCUCUUGAAAGUUAGGGUGUCUCUCAUUUUUGUUGCAGCUUCUUUCUAAUUCGUUCUAAAGAUUUGAACAUCGUUUUUUGUUCGUUUAUCAAUUAGUUCGAGUAUUAGUGUGUAUAGAUCAUUGUGUUGGUGAUCUAGUAGGUUAGUUGUAAGGUGUUUGUUGAGAGUUUUAUAUUUGAACAGAUCUGUUAUUGUAAUUCGUUUGAAUCUUGAUUUUUUUUAUUCAAGAUACCAUAAUUUUGACAG